CGCAACUGCAACAUUAAUUAUUAUAUCCAUAUCAACCUGAGUUACGUUCUUACUUGAAAUGGCUUGGCAAUCGAUUAAAACGUUUUCUUGAAUGGAAUAGGGAAUUGCAAUUGCUUCCCUUGCACGAGGAAUUCCCAGUAAGCGUGAGUCAUUAGCUCACGUUGAUUACGCGCCUGCCCUUUG
rnacentral:ncRNA from 1 species